rnacentral:lncRNA from 1 species
GGAGUUUUUUUUAUAUUUUUGGAAAGAAAGUUAGCAUACCUUUUGAUCCUUAUAGGUUCUCUCAGAUCACUCAUUAUCUUUCAUAUAUCUCACUGAGGUUGUUUUAAUUUGCAAAAAUUCUGCGGCAUACUUACUUUGCAUUUUAUUGCCUGAUCAAAACGGGAUCCGAGGAGGGGAAUGUCAUACUCUUAGAUCAAAGACUUUGAAAAUUAAAAUCUUUGUCAACUCUUGCUGGC